UACGGAGGGAGCUAGCGUUGUUCGGAAUUACUGGGCGUAAAGGGCGCGUAGGCGGCCUUCUAAGUCGAACGUGAAAUCCCCGGGCUCAACCCGGGAACUGCGUCCGAUACUGGAAGGCUUGAAUCCGGGAGAGGGAUGCGGAAUUCCAGGUGUAGCGGUGAAAUGCGUAGAUAUCUGGAGGAACACCGGUGGCGAAGGCGGCAUCCUGGACCGGUAUUGACGCUGAGGCGCGAAAGCCAGGGGAGCAAACGGG
rnacentral:rRNA from 1 species